CGGACCGAGGUUGAACCUGAGAAAUGUUCGUAUUUCUGAAAUUUGAAAUAAGGUCCAGCCCAAGAGGUGGGCCGGUGGCCAGUCGAAAACUUGAAGUUGUACGGCUCACCAAAACGCAACGUUUUUAGACUCCUCCCUGUCCCGCCAUGAGAGCGCCCUUUUCAAACUCUCUCAUUCUCACUCACAGUGUGACACUGUGACUCACCGAUUCUUAUGGGUUCCAAAGCUAGUUAGGGAGAGGGCCAGAGAAAGAGAGAGAGAUCCCUAAUAUUUCAAUAUGGGUUUCUCUCAUUUUCAAUUCUUCUACGGUUCUACUUUACAUACACAUGUUAUAUACGUGUUUGUAUAAUAUGUAAUUUUUAUCUGUUUUCAGGUGGAAAUUCCAAUUAUCUAUGGGCAGAAAUCGUAGCCAGUGAAAACCAACAGCAGCAGCAACAAGUUGAAGCGGUUUACAGAAGGAGAAGACCCCAGAAAACACCUCAAGAUGUAGACUUGAAUCAGUCGAGUUUGGCUUGUCGAAAUGGGAAUCAGAUGAGUUUGGCGGCGGCCGCCAACAAACGAGUUUAUUGGAACGGAUCUCUCUCCAUCAGCCACAAGUAUUGCUGUUGGCGCUUGUGUGCAUCACCAGCCCCAAGUGAAGCAGGCAAAAAGAAAAGGAAAACCUACUUUACCCAAAGUAGCAGG